rnacentral:rRNA from 1 species
UACGAAGGGGGCUAGCGUUGCUCGGAAUCACUGGGCGUAAAGCGCACGUAGGCGGAUCUUUAAGUCAGGGGUGAAAUCCUGGAGCUCAACUCCAGAACUGCCUUUGAUACUGAGGAUCUUGAGUCCGGGAGAGGUGAGUGGAACUCCGAGUGUAGAGGUGAAAUUCGUAGAUAUUCGGAAGAACACCAGUGGCGAAGGCGGCUCACUGGCCCGGUACUGACGCUGAGGCGCGAAAAGCGUGGGGGAGCAAACAGG